UAUAAUGGAAAAAACCACACAAUUUUUGGAUCAUUAUUUAAUUUGUUAUGAUUUUUGAAAGUUAGAAAAAAAAUAAAAAAACAUGAAGGAACAUUGAUGAACAUGUGGAAAGAAAAUCAAAGAAACAUAUAAACAUUGCUACAGCCUGGGAUCGAACACGCCCCCUUUUUGAAUGAGCAUGGCGCGCUUGCAUGGCUAUUACAUGCAACCAAUGAGAGCGCUGCCCUAGCGCCUAAGGCCACGCUUUUAC
rnacentral:lncRNA from 1 species